rnacentral:rRNA from 1 species
UUGAACGCUGGCGGAAUGCUUUACACAUGCAAGUCGAGCGGCAGCGCGGGGCAACCUGGCGGCGAGCGGCGAACGGGUGAGUAAUAUAUCGGAACGUACCCUGUCGUGGGGGAUAACACAUCGAAAGAUGUGCUAAUACCGCAUACGACCUGAGGAUGAAAGCGGGGGACCGUAAGGCCUCGCGCGAUCGGAGCGGCCGAUGUCAGAUUAGGUAGUUGGUGGGGUAAAGGCUCACCAAGCCGACGAUCUGUAGCUGGUCUGAGAGGACGACCAGCCACACUGGGACUGAGACACGGCCCAGACUCCUACGGGAGGCAGCAGUGGGGAAUUUUGGACAAUGGGCGAAAGCCUGAUCCAGCAAUGCCGCGUGCAGGAAGAAGGCCUUCGGGUUGUAAACUGCUUUUGUACGGAACGAAAAGACUCCUUCUAAUAAAGGGGGUUCAUGACGGUACUGUAAGAAUAAGCACCGGCUAACUACGU